UACGGGGGGGGCAAGCGUUGUUCGGAAUUACUGGGCGUAAAGGGCUCGUAGGUGGCCAACUAAGUCAGACGUGAAAUCCCUCAGCUUAACUGGGGAACUGCGUCUGAUACUGGAUGGCUUGAGAUUGGGAGAGGGAUGCGGAAUUCCAGGUGUAGCGGUGAAAUGCGUAGAUAUCUGGAGGAACACCGGUGGCGAAGGCGGCAUCCUGGACCAACACUGACACUGAGGAGCGAAAGCUAGGGGAGCAAACAGG
rnacentral:rRNA from 1 species